rnacentral:rRNA from 1 species
UACGUAGGGUGCAAGCGUUAAUCGGAAUUACUGGGCGUAAAGCGUGCGCAGGCGGUUGUGCAAGACCGAUGUGAAAUCCCCGGGCUUAACCUGGGAAUGGCAUUGGUGACUGCACGGCUAGAGUGUGUCAGAGGGGGGUAGAAUUCCACGUGUAGCAGUGAAAUGCGUAGAGAUGUGGAGGAAUACCGAUGGCGAAGGCAGCCCCCUGGGAUAACACUGACGCUCAUGCCACGAAAGCGUGGGGAGCAAACAGG